rnacentral:rRNA from 1 species
UACGAAGGGGGCUAGCGUUGCUCGGAAUCACUGGGCGUAAAGCGCACGUAGGCGGGUUGUUAAGUCGGGGGUGAAAUCCUGGAGCUCAACUCCAGAACUGCCUUCGAUACUGGCGACCUUGAGUCCGGGAGAGGUGAGUGGAACUCCGAGUGUAGAGGUGAAAUUCGUAGAUAUUCGGAAGAAGCACCAGUGGCGAAGGCGGCUCACUGGCCCGGGUACUGACGCUGAGGUGCGAAAGCGUGGGGAGCAAACAGG